rnacentral:rRNA from 1 species
UACGGGGGGAGCAAGCGUUGUUCGGAUUUACUGGGCGUAAAGGGCGCGUAGGCGGCCACUGCAAGUCAGUUGUGAAAUCUCCGAGCUUAACUCGGAAAGGUCAACUGAUACUGUGCGGCUAGAGUGCGGAAGGGGCAACUGGAAUUCUUGGUGUAGCGGUGAAAAUGCGUAGAUAUCAAGAGGAACACCUGCGGCGAAGGCGGGUUGCUGGGCCGACACUGACGCUGAUGCGCGAAAGCCAGGGGAGCGAACGGG